rnacentral:rRNA from 1 species
UACGGAGGAUGCAAGCGUUAUCCGGAUUCAUUGGGUUUAAAGGGUGCGUAGGCGGGAUCUUAAGUCAGUGGUGAAAUCCUGCAGCUUAACUGCAGAACUGCCAUUGAUACUGAGAUCCUUGAAUGCGGUUGAGGUAGGCGGAAUGUGUAAUGUAGCGGUGAAAUGCGUAGAUAUUACACAGAACACCAAUUGCGAAGGCAGCUUACUAAGCCGUGAUUGACGCUGAGGCACGAAAGCGUGGGGAUCAAACAGG